GAUUUAAUUUAAGAGGUAAAGGCCCAUUUUCAACUUGAUGCAACGCGCACCGCGACCCAAUUUCCUGUAACACGAAAUUCCCAGAUCACUAAAAACCUUCUAAAAUCGUCUUUCUCAAGAGCCAUCCUGGACGUAUAGUCACUGUUUUACGGUAAAUACAUUCGCCGGUCGUCAUUUUGCAGUUUCCUUACAGUAUUUUGAAUUUUGUCCGAAAGAAUCGGAAGGAAAUAUUUUUAAGUGUCACGCUUGGAUCUCUUCGUUCUCUGUGAACAGAGUUGGCGAAAAGGACAACGUUCGAAUUUUUUCACUUUCUAGAAGCGCUUGAGGAUUCUAAAUGAAGAUAAAAUAUUUCCAAUAGAAAUUGAUAUUUUUGAAAAAGAAAUAUGGAAAAAUAUCAGACUGCCGGACGUUUAGUUAUUCGAAGACCGCGUCCGGUGGUGUCCAGUGCAAAUUUUCUGAGUGUUGCGCUUGGAUCUCUUCGCACUCUCUGUACAAGGUCAGCGAGAGAGACGACGUUGGCAUUUUUUCACUUUCUAGAAGCGCUUGAGGAUUGUAAAUGAAGGUAGAAUAUUUCCCAACGAAAAAUUGGUAUAUUUCAAAGAGAAAUAUGGAGUUAUUUGAGGACCGUGUCCAGCCGUGUCAUUGAAAAGUUUUAAGUGUCAAGCGCUUGAAUGGCUUCAUACGUUGUAUUCAGGGUUGACGAAAAACAUCAACCUCGAAAUUUUAGGCUGCCUGGAAGCGCUCGAGGAUUGCAAGUAAAGGAACCUCAGCGACAUUGACAGUUUGCGUUACAAUUCUUAUUUGCUGCUUUGCAUGGACAACAACCUCGACCACUCUUUCGGGCGCAAGAUCUUCUCCACGGGCAGGAAACUUCAACUGACCCUUAGUCCUAUUAAACAAGGAUGGCAAACCCAAUUUUAAAAAAAUGAUGAAUGACGACAACAACAUUUUCACCUUCUUAGUAAUGCUCCCAAGGAUUUUUGCGUUCUUCUUUAGCAACAACCGAUCCAUAAGCGUUUACUGCCUCGGAAUCUACUAAAUCAAUGGAUUCAUCUGAUUCCUUACCGGAUUGAAACGGAUAGAACUGUUUUAAACAGAAUUAUUUUGACAAGUUCUUCAAAUUCAUCGGAGAACGAACAGAAGGAAUUUUGAGACGUUACAAGGUAAAAAUAACUGACCAAUUAGAGGUGCUAUUUAAACAAAAGCGGUGACUCAAAACAAAAACUAACGACCCGUUGCAUCAAGGUUGGAAAUGAGCCUUUAAGUCCUAUUCAGUGAGGUAAAGAAUUUCAAAGGAUAAAUUUUUUUCUUCUCCGUUUAGUGGAGCUGGCUUUUUAAGAAAGAAAAAGAAAGUAUUCCCUGUUCCGAUAGGAGACAAUGGAUACUGCCAAACCCAAGACAAUCUCUGCAGAACUUUUGGUUCUUUAACCCUCUACACCCUAACAUCUAAAUGCAUAUUCUCCAUACUGUUGUCUAUAAAUCUCCUAAGGCUGAGGACAAGGAGAAUUUGCUGAACAAUCUAGAGAUUGUUUAGUUGGUGAUCAUUUCCUUUUAUUCUAUGACCUUAAUGUUUUAUUCAGCUGUGAUAUGCUGGUCAUAAGCUUGA